AUUGAACGCUGGCGCCAUGACUAACACAUGCAAGUCGAACGGUAACAGGAAGCAGCUUGCUGCUUCGCUGACGAGUGGCGGACGGGUGAGUAAUGUCUGGGAAACUGCCUGAUGGAGGGGGAUAACUACUGGAAACGGUAGCUAAUACCGCAUAAUGUCGCAAGACCAAAGAGGGGGACCUUCGGGCCUCUUGCCAUCGGAUGUGCCCAGAUGGGAUUAGCUAGUAGGUGGGGUAACGGCUCACCUAGGCGACGAUCCCUAGCUGGUCUGAGAGGAUGACCAGCCACACUGGAACUGAGACACGGUCCAGACUCCUACGGGAGGCAGCAGUGGGGAAUAUUGCACAAUGGGCGCAAGCCUGAUGCAGCCAUGCCGCGUGUAUGAAGAAGGCCUUCGGGUUGUAAAGUACUUUCAGCGGGGAGGAAGGGAGUAAAGUUAAUACCUUUGCUCAUUGACGUUACCCGCAGAAGAAGCACCGGCUAACUCCGUGCCAGCAGCCGCGGUAAUACGGAGGGUGCAAGCGUUAAUCGGAAUUACUGGGCGUAAAGCGCACGCAGGCGGUUUGUUAAGUCAGAUGUGAAAUCCCUGGGCUCAACCUGGGAUCUGCAUCUGAUACUGGCAAGCUUGAGUCUCGUAGAGGGGGGUAGAAUUCCAGGUGUAGCGGUGAAAUGCGUAGAGAUCUGGAGGAAUACCGGUGGCGAAGGCGGCCUACUGGGCACCAACUGACGCUGAGGCUCGAAAGUGUGGGUAGCAAACAGG
rnacentral:rRNA from 1 species